rnacentral:rRNA from 1 species
AGAUUGAACGCUGGCGGCAGGCCUAACACAUGCAAGUCGAGCGGCAGCACGGGUACUUGUACCUGGUGGCGAGCGGCGGACGGGUGAGUAAUGCCUAGGAAUCUGCCUAGUGGUGGGGGAUAACGUUCGGAAACGGACGCUAAUACCGCAUACGUCCUACGGGAGAAAGCGGGGGACCUUCGGGCCUCGCGCCAUUAGAUGAGCCUAGGUCGGAUUAGCUAGUUGGUGAGGUAAUGGCUCACCAAGGCGACGAUCCGUAACUGGUCUGAGAGGAUGAUCAGUCACACUGGAACUGAGACACGGUCCAGACUCCUACGGGAGCAGCAGUGGGGAAUAUUGGACAAGUGGGACGAAAGCCUGAUCCAGCCAUGCCGCGUGUG